GAUUAACGCUGGCGGCGUGCAUGAGACAUGCAAGUCGAACGGACGAUCGAGGGCUUGCUCUGAUCGUUAGUGGCGGACGGCUGAGUAACGCGUAGGUGACCUGCCCCGAAGUGGGGGAUAACUGCCCGAAAGGGUGGCUAAUACCGCAUGUGGUGGUUCGUUCAUUCGGAACCAUCAAAGCAGAGAUGCGCUUCGGGAGGGGCCUGCGUCCGA
rnacentral:rRNA from 1 species